AUGAAGAAGGUGCGGGCGAGGCCGCGGCGGAUCCCGGCGUUCGGGGAGUGGAACUACUACGACGACGGUGGGUACGGGUACGGCGACGGCGACGGCGCCGGGGACUGGCCGGUCACCCAGUGCUUGGACUCCGCCAUGCAGGCCGGCCUGUUCGUCUCACUGCCGACUUCACCGAAGCCACUCAAAAAGGUGGUGAAGUGGAGCGACAGCGGCACGCUGGAGGUGGACGGGGAGCAGAGGCAGAAGGUGGUGGUGGGGCUGCGCGAAGAGCACGGGCCGAAGAAGGAGGGGAGGGGGAAGCCCAUAGAAAUUUACCUGAAGGUCCCUCACGCCGCCGACGGCCACCUGAGCACCACCGCAGGCUACAACAAAGGUCACAGGGUGCGGGCGGUCAAGGCCGUGGACGAGGACCUCUACGUGAUCCCGCCGGACAUGCUCUGCCACAAUAAUAACCCACGCAAGAGGCUGACGAAAAGGCUGUGGAUCGGGUGCCUGGGCUGCGUCUCCGCCUAG
rnacentral:rRNA from 1 species